rnacentral:tRNA from 1 species
GGGGAUUUAGCUCAGUGGUAGAGCGCUUGCCUAGCAAGCGCAAGGCCCUGGGUUCGAUCCCCAUCUCUG